rnacentral:rRNA from 1 species
CACGUAGGGGGCAAGCGUUGUCCGGAUUCAUUGGGCGUAAAGAGCUCGAAGGCGGCUCAGUAAGUCGGGUGUGAAACCCUCAGGCUCAACCUGGGGACGCCACUCGAUACUGCUGUGGCUAGAGUCCAGUAGAGGAGUGUGGAAUUCCCGGUGUAGCGGUGAAAUGCGCAGAUAUCGGGAGGAACACCAACGGCGAAGGCAGCACUCUGGGCUGGAACUGACGCUGAGGAGCGAAAGCGUGGGUAGCAAACAGG